rnacentral:lncRNA from 1 species
AGAGGCUCCUGUUCACCCUCUGAGCAAGAGUCCUCUCCUUCCAGAAGCCUUACCUGGAUCCCCAGACGAAGGUAGAUGUUUCUUCCUCAGCAGAUUGACAUGAGAAUACAGCCACAGCUGUUACUGGCACCUCUCGGAGCAUCCCAUCCGAUGGUUCUCUCCCAUGAGACCCAGACCCCGUGCCUUCCCGACUCCUUAUCGUCAAAGCCUGGCACCUGUCUGAUGGUGAUGAGAGAUGGAGAUCUUCCCUGGAGAGAAACUGAGACAGAUAAGAAAAAGAGAAACCGUAUCUGAAGAAAAGAGAAACCACUCUAAGAGGAUCUUAUGCCCUGAGACUAGCCCUUCCAUGCAUCCCAACAGCGCUCUAAGAAGCAAAGCACGUGAGUGGGAAGAACAGGGCUUGCUUUUGCCGUCAUCCUAUGUAGAAUAUGGUCACUUCAUUUGCCCAAUCCUCUGGUCCCUUUUGAAAGCUGUCUACUAAUGGAACUGUGGAGGGAGAACAGGAAUUGCCAAGAAAUAGAUAGGAUUGACUUCUCUGUUGCUGAGAGAGAUCCUCUCAUGAUCCUGUGAAAGUGGAGGUGAUCUGGGUCUGAAUCUAAGAGGCAGACUGUCUCUGCACCCAUAUGGGGCAGGGCUGAUCAAAACACCAUCCAAACCCAUCUGCAAUGUUAGGGGAAUCUCUUUUGGAACAAAAGGUGGUUGGGUAAAUGAGAAACAGCUUCUGCUUUUAUGAGGCAGGCCUGGUGUAAGCAGGUGCCAGUACACAGAGCAGCAUUCAAAAGUAAAUUUCAGUGUCUAGGCAUGUAGUUUGUUAGACUUUCAAAGCCCUUUCACAUUCUUAUUCUCCUUUAAUCCUCAUCCAAUCCUCCAGGAACACUUAGGGGAAAAUGGGAAAGAAGUUGUUUUCUGUGUUUGUUUGUUUGUUUGUUUGUUUUUGUCUUUUUGCUAUUUCUUUGGGCCGCUCCCGCGGCAUAUGGAGGUUCCCAGGCUAGGGGUCCAAU